ACGGGAGGCAGCAGUGGGGAAUAUUGGGCAAUGGGGGAAACCCUGACCCAGCAACGCCGCGUGAAGGAAGAAGGCUUUCGGGUUGUAAACUUCUUUUAUCAGGGAAGAUAAUGACGGUACCUGAUGAAUAAGCCACGGCUAACUACGUGCCAGCAGCCGCGGUAAUACGUAGGUGGCAAGCGUUGUCCGGAUUUACUGGGUGUAAAGGGCGUGUAGGCGGGACAUCAAGUCAGAUGUGAAAGCACGAGGCUCAACUUCGUGUCUGCAUUUGAAACUGACGUUCUUGAGUGUUAGAGAGGCUAACGAAACUCCUAGUGUAGCGGUGAAAUGCGUAGAUAUUAGGAAGAACACCAGUGGCGAAGGCGGUUAGCUGGACAAUAACUGACGCUGAGGCGCGAAAGCGUGGGUAGCAAACAGGAUUAGAUACCCUGGUA
rnacentral:rRNA from 1 species